rnacentral:ncRNA from 1 species
AUUAACACUAUGAAAAGAAGUAGUAGAUAGAUAAAGAUUUAAAGAGAGCUGUUGGUUGGUGCGAAGCAGUAGUCUUGUAUAUCGAACUUGUCUUGGAGUUGUUUGGUGAGUACAUAUUCAAAAAAAUAUGAAAAUCCAAAACGUGCUAUCGCGUUAAGAUAAAGAGAAUCAGUAUUAUAUAACACAUACUGAUUGAAAUUGGGUGGUACCACGGAAAAUUCGUCCCAUAU